GUGCUCGCUUUGGCAGCACAUAUACUAAAAUUGGAAUAAUGCAGAGAAGAUUAGCAUGUCCCCUGUGCAAGGAUGACACCCAAAUUUGUGAAAACUUCUGUAUUUAA
ensembl:snRNA U6 U6 spliceosomal RNA